UUUGAUGAACGCUAGCUACAGGCUUAACACAUGCAAGUCGAGGGGCAUCAGGAAGAAAGCUUGCUUUCUUUGCUGGCGACCGGCGCACGGGUGAGUAACACGUAUCCAACCUGCCCUUUACUCGGGGAUAGCCUUUCGAAAGAAAGAUUAAUACCCGAUGGCAUAAUGAUUCCGCAUGGUUUGAUUAUUAAAGGAUUCCGGUAAAGGAUGGGGAUGCGUUCCAUUAGGUUGUUGGUGAGGUAACGGCUCACCAAGCCUUCGAUGGAUAGGGGUUCUGAGAGGAAGGUCCCCCACAUUGGAACUGAGACACGGUCCAAACUCCUACGGGAGGCAGCAGUGAGGAAUAUUGGUCAAUGGGCGCUAGCCUGAACCAGCCAAGUAGCGUGAAGGAUGAAGGCUCUAUGGGUCGUAAACUUCUUUUAUAUAAGAAUAAAGUGCAGUAUGUAUACUGUUUUGUAUGUAUUAUAUGAAUAAGGAUCGGCUAACUCCGUGCCAGCAGCCGCGGUAAUACGGAGGAUCCGAGCGUUAUCCGGAUUUAUUGGGUUUAAAGGGAGCGUAGGUGGACUGGUAAGUCAGUUGUGAAAGUUUGCGGCUCAACCGUAAAAUUGCAGUUGAUACUGUCAGUCUUGAGUACAGUAGAGGUGGGCGGAAUUCGUGGUGUAGCGGUGAAAUGCUUAGAUAUCACGAAGAACUCCGAUUGCGAAGGCAGCUCACUGGACUGCAACUGACACUGAUGCUCGAAAGUGUGGGUAUCAAACAGGAUUAGAUACCCUGGUAGUCCACACAGUAAACGAUGAAUACUCGCUGUUUGCGAUAUACAGUAAGCGGCCAAGCGAAAGCAUUAAGUAUUCCACCUGGGGAGUACGCCGGCAACGGUGAAACUCAAAGGAAUUGACGGGGGCCCGCACAAGCGGAGGAACAUGUGGUUUAAUUCGAUGAUACGCGAGGAACCUUACCCGGGCUUAAAUUGCAGUGGAAUGAUGUGGAAACAUGUCAGUGAGCAAUCACCGCUGUGAAGGUGCUGCAUGGUUGUCGUUAGCUCGUGCCGUGAGGUGUCGGCUUAAGUGCCAUAACGAGCGCAACCCUUAUCUUUAGUUACUAACAGGUCAUGCUGAGGACUCUAGAGAGACUGCCGUCGUAAGAUGUGAGGAAGGUGGGGAUGACGUCAAAUCAGCACGGCCCUUACGUCCGGGGCUACACACGUGUUACAAUGGGGGGUACAGAAGGCAGCUAGCGGGUGACCGUAUGCUAAUCCCAAAAUCCUCUCUCAGUUCGGAUCGAAGUCUGCAACCCGACUUCGUGAAGCUGGAUUCGCUAGUAAUCGCGCAUCAGCCACGGCGCGGUGAAUACGUUCCCGGGCCUUGUACACACCGCCCGUCAAGCCAUGGGAGCCGGGGGUACAUGAAGUACGUAACCGCAAGGAUCGUCCUAGGGUA
rnacentral:rRNA from 1 species